rnacentral:lncRNA from 1 species
GCCCCCUACUUCAGCCUAGGCAACUGGGUAGUAUACGCCUAGUGAAAACCAUGGAUCCUUUUCUCUCUUUUGCCAUGGUUUGGAUGGCAUAGCAGGAGGGGCUUGUCAGCCAUGGUUGGCAACCUGCCUAGGAGAGGGUAACUCCUACUUCAAACCUACGACCCAAGGACCUCGCUGUCACCAUCCCAGCUCGCUAGGCCAUGGCUGAUGAACCUCGUGCUUAAAGGGGGGGGGGCAGUUUGCGCACACUGCACUUCACUUUAAAACUCCCCAGCGCAGGCCAAAGGACACGUCCACGUUCUAUGACCAGCCAUCCCAAAAGCCUUGCAGUGAUGGGAAAGGGGUGAAAGUGGCAGGUAAAAGAUGUCACUCGAAGCCGUAGUCUUGAUCCUACAUGUAGGUGGCUCAGGACUUUGGUCACCUGGUUGACAACCUGGAGGCAACAACACUACUUGGCAGCAUCCUGAGCGACCGGGCAGCCCUAUUUAAAGAGAGCACUGCCUGCUCUACAUGGAGAGGAGUGGUAGAAAAGGUUCACUUAAACAAAGCUCGUCUCCUCUAUACCCAGUUGGUUAGCCGCAGUCAACGGGCAUCUUCAGAGUGGUCGAACAAACAUGGAAACAAAACCAAAAAAAAGUAAGCAGGCAGCCUGUGCUGGAAGGAAGAGAAAGUCAAGUUCCAAGCAAACCUGCAGCAAAAGCUAACUUGCACUGAUGUCACCAUCCCAGACAUCUUGUGGGAGAACCUGAAAGCAGCCAUCUUUAAGACAUCUGAGGGAGUUCCAAAUAUGGUGUCUGAGUCUCAGUGUGGUUUUCAUUCUUCCAGGGGCACAGCUGAUUGUAUCUUUACUGUCAGACAAUUACAAGAAAAGUGCAUUGAACAGUAUCUUGCUCUAUACCAUUACUUUGUUGAUUUGAGCAAAGCAUUCAAUACUGUUAAUCAAAAUGCUCUGUGGCUAAUUCUAAGGAAAAUAGGUUGCCCAGAAAAAUUUGUAAACAUGAUCAGGGCUCUGCAUCAAGAUUUGAAAACUACAGUUAACUUUGGUUGUAGGCUCUCUGAAUCUUUUGCUGUGAAAAAUGGAGUAAAGCAAGGAGACCUUGAUGCACCCAACCUCUUUGCAAUAUACUUUGCUGUUGUGUUGUCACAUGCUUUUCAAAACUCUGAGGAGGGUAUUUACAUAAAAUAUCAAACAACAGGGAAUGUUUUUAAUCUGACCAGACUGAAAUUCAAAAUGAAGGUUUUUACUUUACUUAUUAGGGAACUUUUAUUUACUGACGAUUAUGAUCUUGUCAGUCAUUCUGAAAUAGGUCGGCAAUCUCUUGUAUCUGCAUUUGACUCAGCCUGUGAUGAUUUUGGCUUGACCAUCAACUUAAAAAAACAGUUGUAAUGCAUUAACCUGCGUGUGGUGCUGUUUGUAAACCCCCUAAAAUUUUUGUUAAGGGUAAGCUACUUAAGGUUGUCAAUUCAUUCAUCCACCUUGGAAGCUCUGUACAAAAUGAUGGAAAUCUUGAUACAGAAGUUCAUCUGUGAAUUCAAAGAACAGCAAAAGCAUUUGGUGGUUUGGAGUCACACGUCUGGUGCCAGUGACAUAAAUAAGAAUACAAAGCUGGCUCUUUACAAAUCAUUUGUCUUACUAUCCCUGUUGUAUUCUUGUGAAACAUAGAUAUGUUAUGAAAGGCAUUUUAAAUUGUUAGAACAAUUCCACCAAAAAUGCCUUCAUCGCAUUUUACACAUUAAAUGGAGUUCUUUUACUCCAAACACAGAUGUCCUUGCAUCUUCAGGCAUCACCUCAGUUAAAGCUAUGAUUUUAAGGAACCAAAUGAGAUGGUCUGACCAUAUUGUUUGAAUGGCAGAUAAAUGCAUGCUGAAACAGCUGUUUUAUGAUGAACCUGUUGAGGGAAAACACUAUCGUGUAAACCUAAAAAAAGGCUUAAGGAUGGCAUAAGGACUACUAUGAAGUCACUUGGAAUAGAUCCAGAAGACAUAGAAACUCUUGCUUUGGAUUGAAGUGUGGAGUGGAGUGGAGUGAAAGCAUUUGAAGAGGCUAGGAUAAUGCAUGUAAGACUCAAAAGAGAUCUAAGGAAGAAUGUUAUGAUUGAGAAGGUGAAUGACAAUGAACUUUUUGUGUGCACAGUCUGUGACAGACCAUGCCUUUCUUUUGCUGGGCUCAGAUCUCGUUUGUGAACCUAUGGAAAACGAACCUCCACCAACUAUUCUGCCUAUAUGUCUGUGCAGUGUAUGCUUUCGAUGUGAUCAUGGGGUCAUAUGAUAGAGCAGGUAUAUGCAAUCUUACUGGACUAUUCCUACUUGAUAUGUUAGGCAAAACUUUUCCUGAUGUAUACUUUGCCAUUUACAAAGAUGAUGCCCUAGCCUUAACUGCUAAUACCAAUGGACCAGCACAGGAUUGGUUUAGGAAGGACAUUAUCCAUUUGAUGAAAACUUUCAGUCUUAGCAUAACUACAGACACCAACCUUAUGGUUGUCAGUUUCCUAGAUGUAUCCUUAGAUCUAAAUAAGAAUAUUUAUAAACCUUAUAGGAAGCUCAAUCAUAGAUUUAGUUGUAUUAAUGUGGGUUCCUGUCAUCCCCCCAUAGUGUUUAAAAAUUUAGUUAAAAACAUUAGCAAAAGAAUUUCUAGCCUCUCCUCCGAUAGGGACAUUUUUAAUAGCAUUGCCCCAGUAUAUAAUAAGGCUCUAAAAGAUAGUGGAUUUAGUGAGGAAAUAACCUAUACACUUGCCAUCAGUCCAAUAAUAAAGAAAAAGAAACAUAGGAAUAGGAAAACUAUCUGGUUCACCCCCCCCUACUCACCUGAAGUGACCUUUAAUAUAGGCAAGUAUGUCUUAGCACUGAUAGAUAGACACUUUCCAGUCAACCAUACUUACAAAAGCUCUUCAAUAGACAUAACUUCAAAAUCAGUUUCAGCUCAACUAAUAAUUUUAAAAAUAUAAUCGCACGCAACACACAAAAACCACAAAAUGAAACCAGCUGUUCAUACAGGGUUAAAAAUUUGUGCCCGCUAAAUGGAGCUUGCAUGUCCGAGAUCACCGUUUAUAAAGCCACCGUGGACUCUAUAUCCACUAAGGACACAGUUUCUAUGAAGAAAUACGUGGGCCUUACAGAGGGUAAUUUCAAGGCCAGGUUCAAUAAUCACACCUUGAUCUUCAGGUACUGGGAUAAAAGGAAAAUGACCAAAUUAUCCAGUCAUAUAUGGUCCUUAAAAGAUAAAGGUGUCAGUUACAACAUCCAUUGGAAGAUCUUAGCCAAGUGUAAGCCCUACACCAAUGGCAGUGGAAAGUGCAGUCAUUGUGAUAGGGAAAGAUGGCUCAUCUGGAAAAACCGCUUAGACCCUGCCACAUGUCUAAAUUCAAGAACUGAAAUUUUGGGAUCAUGUUCACACGUGGCUGGAUAUUUGUUAUGUUUUUGGUCCCCCGAGAUUACAGAUAGGACUUGCUUUCUAUAUUGUGUCCACAUACAAGCUUUUUAUCUCUCUAUACUUUUACAUAUAUUUCUUGUAUAUUUUUUAUAUUUUUUUUUACAUAUUUAUAGAGAUAUUGAUUAUAGUUUUAUUGCUCAUAUAAUUUUUUACACAUAAUUUUUCUCUAUUCAAAUAUACCUAUACUCUAUCAUGGUCCAUACUGGACUCAGGACUUCCCUACCGAGGUCAAUGCUCAAUCUGCAAGCUUUGCCUGAAGGAGGCACUCCAAAUAUUAAAGCAAAACUCUUCAACAUCAUCAUCAUCAUUUAGCGUCUGCUUUCCAUGCUUGCAUGGGUUGGACAACACUGCUUAAUAAACAUAAUGAGGCACUAAGCACAUGCAACCACCGCUUUUAUCACACAUUUAAAUUCUACCACAAAUCCAAAUGCCAGAAUGACCAUACAGUGCAUUUCCAUAAUACUCCUUAGGUAAUCCCAAUAACCUAUAAAUUUACACUCUAACUCAUAAUCCCUAUCUAGUUUCUCACAUAUACAACCAUCUGAUUAUAUUCGUAUGUGCACACACCCAUAUAUAUGUAUGAGUGAGAGUAUGCGUAUAUGCAUGCAUGUGGGUAUAUGUAAACAUACGUACACAUGCAAGGUAUAUAUACCUGCAUAUGUAGGGGCGAUGAUACAUGCAGAUGAGCAUAUAAAUGAACAUGUAUGAGUGCAUACACAUGCGAAUAAGGAUUGUAUAUGUAACUUAUCUGAUAUAUACAUAUCUCUUUCUCUCUUGUUUCAGUCAUUUGACUGCGGCCAUGCUGGAGCACCGCCUUUUGUCGAGCAAAUCGACACCAGGACUUAUUCUUUGUAAGCCCAGUACUUAUUCUAUUGGUCUCUUUUGCCAAACCGCUAAGUGACGGGGACGUAAACACACCAGCAUCGGUUGUCAAGCAAUGCUAGGGAGACAAACACAUACAUAUAUAUAUAUAUAUAUAUGUAUAUAUAUACGACAGGCUUCUUUCAGUUUCCGUCUACCAAAUCCACUCACAAGGCAUUGGUCGGCCUGGGGCUUUAGCAGAAGACACUUGCCCAAGAUGCCACGCAGUGGGACUGAACCUGGAACCAUGUGGUUGGUAAGCAAGCUACUUACCACACAGCCACUCCACAUAUUUUCUCAGAUUACUAAGCACUGAACUGCUAUGUUCUUAAUUCUUCAUAUCUUUGCCCUACAAUUAGACUCUACUAUUACACAUUGGUCAUUCCUUUACCUCUUAACCCACCAUUCCUCUAUCUUUUACACUAUAAUACCUUUCUCUCUCUAUCCCCACUCCUACUUUCAAAUUAUUUUUACUGACCACUGAUUGAUCUAUAUCAGAAUUUUUGUUUUUUGUUUUUUCUUUAUUCCUAUUUUCAGGGUUUUUUAAAAAAUUAUUUUGUUAUUUUUACUAAUCUUCUCUCUCCUUUCUCUUUCAUUUUUUUCUUUCUUUAUUUCAUUCCUCUCUUCCUGUUUUCAAUUUAACCUUACUAAUACACUCCCUAUUUCUAGAUCAUUUUAAAUACAAACCUUUGACUCUGCAACACUGUAUAUAAAUUCCCUACUGGGAAUGACCAAGUUUAAAAAUCUGCUGGAUCUCACUCAUAAGGGAAUCUUACAUUGCUUAUAAACUCUAUAUUUGGAAGGACUCAUAUUAAACUCUGUUUACUCAAAGGAUAUUGGAAUAUUGCAUAUAUACUAUUAUGCCUAUAAAGUGGAUUUACAACUUUGACACCCAUAUAUAUCAUACAUCUAUUUUCUUUCCUCCACCUCACUCUCUAUUUUGUAUCACAUCUAAACUAACUAUGACUUAAUUUUCCUCUCACACCAUCUCCAAUGAAGGGAUAUUAUUAACUAAUAUCCUAGAAACAGCUGUAAGACCUUCUAUCUAUAAAUGCUCUAUCUAUACAGCCUUGGCUUUUUAUCUUAUUGCGCAAAAAAAUUCUUAUAUAUAUAUAUAUAUAUAUAUAUAUAUAUAUAUAUAUAUACUGAUAUCGUGAUUCCUGAGUAGUGCUCAACUGGUAGCAGAGGGCCUGGAAUUUACUUACAUUAAAUUGCGUGUUGUUAUCCUCAGCCCAUGUAUAGAUGGCAUCUAGAUCUUUCUGUAAGAGCAUAGCAUCAGAGGUUUCCUUGACUGACUGUGUAUAUAUGUACGUAUAUAUAUAGAGAUAUGUAUAUACAUAUCUCUAUAUAUAUGUACAUAUGUAUGUAUAUAUAUUCAUGUCUGUAUAUACAUAUGUAUAUAUACAUCGUGUGUAUAUAUAUAGAUAUUAUUCUUUUAUAUGUUUUAUAUGUUUCAGUCCAAUGACUGUGGCCAUGCUGGAGCACCACCAUUGUGAUCAUCUUUCCACUUUCACCCUUUGUCGGAGCGGCUUUUUGGGGAAGGAUGGAAUUCGAUGUUACUACCCUUUUUGAGUUUCUUGCCUAGAUAUUGGCUCAUCUGGGAUCUUGGCGAGCUAGAGGUCAAGAUCAUGUUUGAAAACGUCAACAUCCACUCCAUGGAGGCUCCUCAGAUGCUUCGGCAGACAGUUAAACAGCUGUGGGCCCUUGAAACCCAAGCUAUUGCAGUAUAUCAUCCGUGCCCGAGAUGAAGCAGUCGGCACAGUGGGGACAGCACAGUGACGCCCUGUUUGUGCUCUUCUAUAGCUCUUUAUUCCAAAGUUUGGUACCAGUCCUUCCAGUACCUUCCAUAUAUAUAUCACUGCAUACCUCUUUGGCCUUCAUGCCAAGGAAUAGAGUCACAGCUCUUUCAAUCUGUCCCAGUAGCUCAAUUGUUUCAUUGAUGCAAUUUUCUUUGUGUAAUGCUGUUGGACUGCUUCAAGCUCUGCUAUCGUCCUUGUAGUAUAAGGUGACCAUAGCUGAGAGCAGUAGUCCAGUUGGCUGAGGAUAAAUGACUUCCAUAGUCUCAUCAUAGUGUCUUGGUCUUCUGUAUAUGGCCAACAUUUUAUUGAUAUGUGUGUGAAAUGAGGCAUUCUAGCUCAUUUCUAUUCCAAGCUCAUGCACUGUAUUUGAUUCUGGGAUCGUUGUUCCAUUUGGUUCAAUGUACUGAUGUCAUGAUUCCUGAGCAGUGCUCAACUGGUAGCAGAGGGCUUGGAAUUUACUUGCAUUAAAUUGCAUGUUGUGAUCCUCAGCCGAUGUAUAGAUGGCAUCUAGAGCUUUCUGUAAGAGUGUAGCAUCAGAGGUUUCCUUGACUGACUGUGCGACUUUUGUGUUGUCGGCAUAGUUGGUAAGCAUGGUUACCUCUGUCACUGAUGGCAUAUCCGAUAGGGAUACCAUGAAAAGCAGUGGCCCCAGCACAGUGCCCUGGGGAACUCCACUCACUACUGGUGUCUCUGUGGAGAGAGCUCCAUUGACUGCCACAGUUUGACUCCCGUCCUUUAGGAAAUCAUGCAACCACUCUCCAACUUUAUCGGUGAUGCCGAGUCCCCGUAUUUUGUGGCAUAUCAUUCCAUGGUCGACCUUGUCAAAUGCCUUUGCAAAGUCGAGGUAUACCACAUCCACUUUUGAACAGUUCAUUAAUUGCUUCAAUACCCAGUCAGUCAUAGUGUCACAGAAGCUCUGUAAGACAGCUCUUUCCCGAGUGAAAGCCAUGUUGGGUGUCAGAGAGCAGGUCAUUGUCCUUAAGGAACUCAAUCAGUCUUUUCCUGACAAUGCGCUCCAUGACUUUACUGACUAUAUACACAUAUAUAGAUACAUAUAUAUGUAUAUGGUGAUGGUAGUGAUGUUGAUAUAUGUGUGUGCAUAUGUGUACACACACACAAACAUGCACAUAUAUUAUAUAUACAUACUCAGUCAUAUAUAUAAAGUCAAAAGAGAAGAGAAUAGAAAGAGAAUUAUUUUCAUCAUUUGUCGUAAUUCUUAAAAUAUUUUUUUUUUUAUUCUGGAUGUUAUUUGAAAUGAUUUCUGUUGGGAUUCUGCCCAGUGACAUUAUUACAGUAAAAGAUGAGCAGGAAAAAUAAUCAUUGUCAUCAUCAUCAUCAUUAUUAUUAUCACCAUCGAUCAUCAAUGUUGCUGUUAGUGUGGAAGCAUGAUGACCAAAAUUGUUUUGCAGUAUUUAAUUACUUCCUGUUACAUUUUGUGUUGAGAUCUUGCUGAGAGUGAUCGACUUUGCCUUUCAUCUCUCUCGGAUCAAUAAUGUCAAUAACCAGUCGUCGUCGUUACUGUUAGCAGUGGUGGUGGAAGUGUUGGUAUUGUUGCUGUUGUUGUCUAGCUCCAAAUCAGUUCUCAGUAAGGAAACCCUUGGAACAAACACACUUCAACCAUGACCAUACCAUCUACUAAGAUAUUUCUAGGACUACAUUUUCUAAGGUGUCCUUCCCUCUCUUAUCAUCAUCAUCAUCAUCAUCACCAUCAUCGUUUAACGUCUGUUUCCCAUGCUAGCAUGGGUUGGACGGUUCAACUGGGAUCUGGGAAGCCAGAAGGCUGUACCAGGCCCCAGUCUGAUCUGGCAGUGAUUCUACAGCUGGAUGCCCUUCCUAACGCCAACCACUCUGUGAGUGUAGUAGGUGCUUUUUACGUGCCAGGUGAGGCUGGCAAUGGCCAUGAUCGGAUUGGUGCUUUUUACGUGACACCAGCAUGGACGUGCCACCAGCACAGAUAAGGAUGCUAAGUUGUGAUAAGAUUUGGCUGCUAUGAAUAGCAAGCUAAGUGAGCUCAUGGAAGCCACUUUCUUGCCUUUAAUAAAAUCAUUAUGUACUAAGGUCAUUUUAAUCAACUUUCUGUAUCUCUCUGCCUCUUUUAAAAUUUCCAGCCUUUUUCUGUUGGUAGACAUUGGUAUGAUGCCAUGACAGACAAAAUAACUUGUUCGUAUUUGAAGAGUUACUUUGUUUUCAAUUAAAAUUUCACUGAGGCCAACAUUGCCCUUCAGCCUUCCAUGGAUGACAUGGAAAUAACUGUGAUGUUGAUAAGCCACAAAAUAUUGGUAUCCAUCACUCCUGGAUGGGACUGGGUGUGUGUGCUGUCUUGCUUUUUGAUGGCUAUCAGUGGUAUGAAGGAGUGGUGCCCAGAGCACAGUACCACAGCAAACCAGUGAACAAGUAAAACACAUACAUUGGGGAUGAGGAUGAGCUGAUUAUAAAGUAAUUGAUAUACAUACAUACAUACAUCACCAUGUUGGAUCAUUAGCUCCUACACGCAUUUUUUUUCUCUCCUUGUUUCUUUUCUGUGUAUCUUUCUGUCGAAGAGCGUAGGCUCGAAACGUAAAAGACUUGUUUUAUUUCUAUUCCUGAGCGCCAUACUAAUACAAUUGUUUGUUUGUACUCCACCUGCCUUCGUCUUUUGUUUAUUUUCGUAAACCUUCCCGUUAUAAAUAUAUAUAUAAUAGGUGCAGUUGUGGCUGUGUGAUAUGAAGCUCGCUCCAAACCACAUGGUUUCGGCCCAAUCCUGUUGGGCAAGUGUCUUCUACUAUAGCCUCGGGCCGACCAAAGCCUUGUGAGUGGAUUUGGUAGACGGAAGCUGAUAAUAGAAGCCUGUCAUGUGUGUGUAAAGUUUCUACAGCUGGAUGCCCUUCCUAACGCCAACCACUCCGAGAGUGUAGUUGUGUAUUUACUUGUUUAACUAACUAAACUGCUAUACCAGUGUGUGGAUGUGGUAACAGCAACAUUGGAUUACAACAGUAUAUUAGAUACUUUUUAUUGAACUGCGGUCUGGAUUUUCAUGUCACUUGUGUUUUGAUGUAAGCAUGUUGGAAAUGUCUGUCUUGUCAACUGGAAAGUAUUUUUGUUAAAUUUUUUUUAUCUUCAAUUGAUUUGGAUUUAACAUUUUCCUUUGAUAAGAAUUUUUAGUCUUCAACACACAAUUAUAUUUUGUUGUUAUCCAGAAUUUUAGUUAGAUGUUUUGCAAACAACUUAUAGAUGCAAGUGCUACCAGAUGAAAGCUCUGCAUACUGGAUGCCUAGCAAGUUUAUGGGGUCAGCAGAAGAGAAUGUGUGCCAUUUUAGGGCCUACCUCUCAAUGGCAUCAUUAUGCACUGGCCCCUACUCACUGAAACGAGGCCUUCCCUACCAUAUCUGUUUCUUUAUUACCCACAAGGGGCUAAACAUAGAGGGGACAAACAAGGACAGACAAACGGAUUAAGUCGAUUACAUCGACCCCAGUGCGUAACUGGUACUUAAUUUAUCGACCAUGAAAGGAUGAAAGGCAAAGUCAACCUCGGCGGAAUUUGAACUGAGAACGUAACGGCAGACGAAAUACGACUACGCAUUUCGCCUGGCGUGCUAACGUUUCUGCCAGCUUGCUGCCUUACCAUAUCAACUGGUUAUCACAUUUACAUCAAUAUUCUUUUAGCCAUUGCUCAUUGUGUCUUUUUAAUCAAAUCCAGUGGCUUGCUUUUCCACUGUAGUUUGGAAAUCACUCUUAGUGGUAUUUGUUUUAUGAUGAGUUACGCUUAAUGAUAACAAUAGUUGCCUUACACUGUAUCCAAUAAACUCUCUACAUCCGACUGCGAUUGGAAACUGCUCUGCUUUCCAGCUUGUGUCUUCACAUUCUUUGAAGAGGUCUAUAUAACAGUCAAUCUUUCGAGCGCGAGUAGCGUCCAUGAGGAACCAUUAACUUGACUAGAUUUACCACUUUCUUUCUUUCACACCAUAUUAUGAUAUCCGGUUUCUUCAUAACUGGGAUAGAAAAGAAUCCAGGGCACCCUAGUAAAUCUGCAGCCACCUCCCAAUUGCCGCGAAACUUUUCAUCGCUCACAGGAAGUUUCUUCUUCUUCAAACAGAUCUGCUGUCCUGAGCGCACAAAGGUAAUGAAAUCUCUGGUUGAUUCUUUCAGUGGUUUUUUUGCCACUGUUGAUGAGAGCAAUUUGGUUCUUUAUAAUAUUGAAGAUGACCUUAAGGACCAGAUUGUGUCUUGAUGUACAUCUGUUCAAUGCCAGUGAACAACCAGAAAGAAUAUGUUUCAGUGUUCCAACUUUUCCACAUCUGCAUAUAUCAUUUUCCUCAUGUUCCUCCCAUUUUAUCAUCUGUUCUUGUUGAGAGUAUACAGGUGAAAGAAAGAUAAUUUUCGUCGUAUAGAAUUAUGACUUUAUAUUUUACUAUCUAAUUCAUAAAUCUAGCUAAUAUUGAAUCACAACAAUUCAAAUAAGACUUGUUGGAUUUUCCUUGGACAUGGCAUGAAAAAUCACCAAUGUCUCAAAGGAGUGAGUGUCAUGGAGUUUAGUUACAUCCAACAAACACUGAAGUUUUUCCCAAAAUCCAGGGUUUUUAUAACUGCUCAACUUGACUUUAAAGAAUCGAAAUCCCAUACGAAUAUUCUUUAAGUAACUUUUAGAAUCCUUAUAUGAGCAGUUAUAUUAACCAAUGGAAAAAACGACAAUAAUAUUUCUUUGGCAAUAGGACAUUACAUCAUAUUGCCAGCUACCACAAAUUGGCGCUUUAUUUUAAAAUGGCUACUUGCAACAAGAGCAUUGGAAGAAAUGAAGCUCUCUUCUCUCUGUUUCCCUUGCUUUGAUGCUGUUGCUAACUACAGAUCUGCAUUCACUCUGCCUCAUGCUUGCAAAUGGUCUGAACUGAUCUGCAUCAAAGCCGAGUCCCUUCUGAUGAAUUUGCAUUGCACCCACCACAUCUGAGUGUGCAAGUGAAGACAGGAUGUCAUUAGUCUCUGCUUCUGCUUUCUACUUCUUGGCUCUUUUACAUCUGGUGGAUUAAUCCUGAUUUCUAUAUCCUUCGACUCUCUCAGCAUCAUCACCAUUCAUAUAUUCCCUAGUUUAUAAAUUUCAACUAUUGAUGUGAGUGGUAACUGCAAUCAGCUUCUUUUACGAUAGAGAACUGAGCAGUUCAAUAUUUUCACUGGUUGAUGUUAGAUUUGCUGGGAGAUUUACAGAUGAAAUAAUAUUAUCCAUGAAUGAAAGUUUAAAUUGAUUGCAAUUUUUGAUAAAGAGUGUGGGGAAGAGAGAGGUGGAGACCAGCUGUAAAAGUAUGACUCUAACUAGAAAAGUAAUGAGAAAAUAAUGUCAGCUCUCAAUUGUAAAUUAUUGUAACAGAAAGGAUGAAACAAAAUGCAGAAAAUCUCGAUAAUAAUUGUACGGUGAUAUAAUGGUAAUUAUUAGUCAAAGCUAUUGUCAGAAGAAUUGAGGAAGAGUUUUUGGUUUCUUUAGACUGUCUUUUUUAUUAUUUAAUGAGGGCAGUGUAUCCAGUUCUGAUUAACGAAUAAAUAUCAUUCGCAAUUAUUUCCAAGAGCAAUCAAGAAUGCAAUUCACAGUAACGUUUGAAAUAGAGCCAAGAUGAAAAGAAGACGGAAAUCAAUUCCUUCCUGGGUCUUAAUUAUUUCUACAGAUUCUUCUGUCUUUCAGUUCAUGGUAUUUCAGUGGGGAGUGGAGAGAUUACAGCUUUCAUUCACUCUCCCUGGGUCUCCUAUCACCGCACUCUCUUCAACUUCUUGGACAUGUUACUUUGAGAUGAUGUGCUAGCACCUCCUCCAUUUCAUUUCUCCUGCUCCUCCUAUGUUACUCUCAUCAUCACCACCACCCUUUCACAACUAUAAAACGGUUCCCUUCAUUAUACUGUUGUAAGUUCACCCAAUACCUCACCAAAAGUCAUCACUCUCUCUUCUGUUCUCUCUAUUUUGUUUUGCAAGGUACUUGGUGACCCUGUCAGUGAUGGUUCCACAUAAAAAGCACUGGUGUUGAUACCAUGUUAAAAGUACCCAGUAUAUUAUGUACUCUGGUUGGCAUUAGGAAGCGUGUCCAGCUGUAGAAACCAUGCUAAAACAUCCAAUGGAGCCCGGUAUGGCACUCAACCAUGCCAGCUUCUAUCAAACUAACUCAUGCCAGUAUGGAAAACAGACAUUAAACAAUGAUAUAUAUAUAUAUAUAUAUAUAUAUAUAUAUAUAUAUAUAUAUGUAUACACACACAUAUAAUGAGCCCGUUCAGUAGACUUGAAUUUGCCCCUUGGGUUAUUAGAAGUUUGAUCUGUUUGAUGAAAACAGUGGUCUGUGAAUUUUAGCCUUCUUUGAUUGGUUGGUUGGCUGGCACGUGGUAAAGGUCCAUAUAAUGAUUUGCUUGACAUAUGAUCAGCAUAAGAUACAUUAAAGGUCUUGUGCAGAAGUUGAGUGUAUGGGCCAUCUAGUGAUCACUGUUGGGCCAUCAUAAGAGACCAGCAUUCAAGGCUGCAGGGCAGAACAGAUUCUAUUAUAGAAUUGUUAGCACACCGGGCGAAAUGCUUAGCGGUGUUUCUUCUGCCACUACGUUCUGAGUUCAAAUUCUGCCAAGGUCGACUUUGCCUUUCAUCCUUUCGGGGUCGAUAAAUUAAGUACCAGUUACGCACUGGGGUCAAUGUAAUUGACUUAAUCCCUUUGUCUGUCCUUGUUUGUCCUCUCUAUGUUUAGCCCCUUGUGGGCAAUAAAGAAAUAAGAUUCUAUUAUAGAAUGAAACAGGUAUAGUUUUAGGUUACGUUCCAGUUGCAAUACUUCCCAAGUUUUUCAUAGCUUGUCCAUCUUCAAUGGCAGCUGACUCCAGUUUUGUGAGGAGAGUUUGAGGAUUUCUAGCAUUUGUAAUUGUAUGAGACAAGUGUGACGUCAUCUGCAAAGUUGAGCUCAGUGGGAUACAAUGCUUGACGAUGUGAACCUUGGUAGGGACAGAGAGUUAUAUCUGGUCAUACCUAUUUCUUUACUACCCACAAGGGGCCAAACAUAGAGGGGACAAACAAGGUCAGACAAACAGAUUAAGUUGAUUAUAUCGACCCCAGUGCGUAACUGGUACAUAAUUUAUUGACCCCGAAAGGAUGAAAGGCAAAGUCGACCUCGGCGGAAUUUGAACUCAGAACGUAACAGCAGACGAAAUACCACUAAACAUUUUGCCCAGCAUGCUAACGUUUCUGCCAGCUCGCCACCAUAGCAUGCCUUAGUACAUAAGGCAUACUAUGAUAUACUAAGGCAUGCCUUAGUACAUAAUCCAUUACUAUAAUGGAAAGGAGAGUGGGAGGUAGAGGGGAAGGGAAUACAGCUACAGGAUACAAAUAGGGGGAAGGGAUGUUAGGCGGUUAUAAUGUGGGGAGGAGAUUCAACAUGAACACAUUGUGUGCAGACAGAUCCAUGUCUUCUUGGGUCUUCCUUUUCCACAAUUAGAGAUCAGCACUUCUUUAUACACACACACACACACAUGUGCACAUGUAUCUAUAUAUUCCACAAAAACACACAUUGUCACUGUUGGCACCAUCAUCAUUAUCAUUUUCAAUACCUAUUUCUUUACUACCCACAAGGGGCUAAACACAGAGAGGACAAACAAGGACAGACAAAUGGAUUAAGUCGAUUAUAUUGACUCCAGUGCAUAACUGGUACUUAUUUAAUUGACCCCGAAAGGAUGAAAGGCAAAGUCGACCUCGGUGGAAUUUGAACUCAGAACGUAAAGAAAGCCGAAAUACCACUAAGCACUUUGCCUGGCUAACGUUUCUGCCAGCUCGCCGCCUUAUAUCAUUUUCAAUACCAUUUAACUCUGCUCAUCCAACACUCCUCCAUCCUGUCUGGACAAUGGACUGAAAUACAAAACAGAACUUUCUUUCUCGCUUUCCUCUUCCCUCUCCCCCCUCUUUCUCCUUUUCUUCCUCCCAUCCUUUUCCCAUCUCUGUCUCCCUCUCUCUUUUUUUUCUCUCUUGCCUUCUUUCUCUUUCUGUCCAUUUCCUUCUCACUUUUACUCCUCUCUCUCAUGUUUCUCUUCUUCUUCUCCAUCAGUUCUCUUUCUCUUCCUCCCUUCUGUCUUUCCUUCCCCCUUUCUCUUUUCUUCUAUCUCACCCUCUCCUUCCCACACGCCAUUCCAUUCUUCCUUUUUUUUCAUCUUUCUCAGGCCCCAUAUCUUUUUUCCCCUAACUUUAUCUUCUUCUCCACAUUCUUCCCACUCUGCCCACUCACACCACAUCUGUGAAGAAUUACCGAGAGAGAGAGAGACGGGGGAGCGAGAGGGAGAAAGAUAGAGAAACAAAGUAUUGGAGACAGAUUUAGAGAGAGACUUGUAGAACGAAGCAGAGAGUUAGAGACAGAAAUGUUGAGAGAGAAUGUUUAUCCAAGUCUUUCCAUUCGUUUUUGUUGCCUGUUUUUGGAUGUCAGCCAAUAUUUGCCGUUAUUUAUUUUAGUUAUUGAUCUCUUCUUUCAUUACAAUAAUUGAUUCCACUUAAAGACUUUGAUUGGCUAACAACCAGCUUACAGCAAAAUACUUGUUGUUACUGUUGUUGUUGGUAGUAAUGGAAGCAGUUGUGUACAUGUACUGAUAGUGGCUAUGGUGGUGGUGGUCAGUCUGGUUUACAAAAUCAAGAAAUGGCUUUUGUUUUCUUAUUUUUCUUUGUCAAUCUUUUCCGUUUAUUUAUUUGAAUUUUUGUUUUGUUUUUUUAUUCAUUCACUAAUUUAAAAAAAAAUUGUUUUUAUCUUCAUUUUUUUUGCUUUGUUUUGUGAAUUUUAAAGAUUUCUGGUUCCACUUUUUCCUCCCUGUCUGAUUACUUUUUACCUCAUUUGUUCAUUAGUCACCACUAAGAGGAGUGAGGUGGCAUUAUAUUUAUUUACUUUGGUGAUGAGAGCAGUUCAUGCUUCUGCUCCUGACAUGGUUUCCACCAGUGGUAGUUGUGGUUUGGUACUUGUCACAGUAGUGGUGGUAGCAGUAGUAGAAUCAGUUUGGGUAGUAGUGUUGAUCCAUGUCAGACAAAACUGGAACUGUAUAUUAAAUGUGGUUCAACAGAACAAUAUAUUGGAAGAAACUGGAACCUAAUUGAGAUUCCAUUGGUUUUUCAUACUGCACCUGUUUUUUUACUAAACAUAUCUCUCCGCACGUAAAAAGCACCAUCUGAUCAUGGCCGUUGCCAGCCUCGCCUGGCCCCUGUGCUGGUGGCACAUAAAAAGCACCAUCCGAUCAUGGCCGUUGCCAGCCUCGCCUGGCCCCCAUGCCGGUGGCACGUAAAAAGCACCCAGUACACUCACGGAGUGGCUGGCGUUAGGAAGGGCAUCCAGCCGUAGAAACAUUGCCAGAUUAGACUGGGCCUGGUAAAGCCUUCUGGCUUCCCAGACCCCAGUUGAACCGUCCAACCCAUGCUAGCAUGGAAAGCGGACGCUAAACGAUGAUGAUGAUGUAUAUAUACACACACACAUGCACAUACAUAUGCUGUCAUCAUCAUCAGUGUUUUAAUGUCCAUUUUCAUGCUGUCACGGGUUAGAUGAAAUUUAUUGAGUCAGGCUUUCUAUGGUUAGAUGCCCUUCUUGUUGUUCACCCUUGUUUUUCAGUCAAGGUAUUUAUCAUUUCACCAUUUCACACACACACACACUUGCAUGCUAGUAUGUGUGUGUGUGUGUGUGUGUGUGAGAGCUUUGCAGUAUUUGUUCUAUCUCUUUGCUCUCUGAGUCCAGUUCCUGCAGAGGUUAGCUUUGCUUUUCAUCAUUUAAGGGUUUAUAAAUAUACUACCAGCCUUGCACUGCUGCAGCUUUCCAUGUCUCUUUCUAACUGUCACAUCCUAGAUCAGUGCUUUUCAACCUUUUUGCUGGAGCGGAACCCCAAGAAAACAUUUCACUGGCUCGAGGAACCCUUGUGCAAUAAUUUAAUUGUCUUAUGCACACAUAUCUGCACAGGAGAAUUAAAAAUUACUGUCGGUUUUAGCAUUUUUGUAACUUCUUGCGGAACCCCUGGACUGUACUGGCAGAACCCUAAGGUUCCGCGGAACCCUGGUUGAAAACCACUGUCCUAGAUGCUCAACUGAGCUAAAAGUCGGAAGCCAGGCAGGAUGUUUGCGUUUACAUGGCUACCUAAAACCAUGGUACAUGCUGAUACUAAGAUGUGCAAGAGAAGUUAGCUAUAAGAACAGCCAUGGAAUUUCCUUCCAAUAAUCAAAAGACUCACUAAAAGUUGAUGACAUUCUAUGUUUUAAUGGUGACAAGAAGUAUUAGAGGGCAGGAUGGAGAUAUGGUAUAAAAAUUGAGCAGGGACUGGGUGGAAAUAGUUGAGGAAGCUAGUGUCUUCUUUAGCAAGAAAGGUUUUCACUAUAUGAGUGAAAAACAACUUCUAUGAUGCUUCUAUACAAAAUACAAUAUCACAUCACAGAGAAACAUGGGGAGAGUGAAGAGGAUGAAGGGAGUCUGGAUUGUACUCAACUGGAUAUGUAAAGUAAGCAUGAAUGGAGGACAGAACAGAGAUGACCCUAGGGCAAAAACUGGGAACAAAAGGCAUCAGCUGCUGUAUGCAAAAGAGAAGGGUGUGCUAGGCUAGACGUAUGUAUCAUGCUGGGAUAGACAGUCCAUCUGAAAUACUAUAGGCACAAGUCUGAAAUUUGAGGGGAGGGGACUAGUCAAUUACAUCAACCCCAGUGUGUAACUGGUACUUAUUUCAUUGACCCUGAAAAGAUGAAAGGCAAAAUUGACCUUGACAGAACUAGAACUCAGAAUGUAAAGAGGGAUAAAAUGCUGCUAUGCAUAUUACCUGGCAUGCUAAUGAUUCUGCCAGCUCACUGCCUUAAUAAUAAUAAUAAUAACAAUAAAAUUGAAAGAAGGAAAUGUACUGCAGCCAGAGAUUUUUUAUAUCUUUAUAUUAUUAAGCUCAAAUUUCACAGCUCACGUUAUUUCACAUUUCUUCCUUUUAUUAUACUUGUGUGAUUGGGACAGGUGGAAGAAUGUGUGUGUGUGUGGAUGGAUGGGUGGAUGUUUGUGAGUGAGAGAGAAAAUAUUGGUAUGAUUAAUAAACUGUUCUCUCACAUCUUACCUUCAUUCACUAUGCUUGUGUGCGGUAGUUGUGGGAGUGGUAACUGUGACAGUAGUUGUGAUUGUAGUCGGGAUUAUGUCAGUAGUAAUUGUGGCGGUCAUGGUUGUAUUUGUAGAGGUUGUAUUACUGGUAAUAACACCUAGAGAGAUGGUGACGGUAGGAGCAAUGACGAUGAUGGUGGUGGCGGUAGUUUUAUUUGUAUUACUGAUGAUGGUGGAGGUAAUUGUAUUUGUAUUACUGAUGAUGGUGGUGGUGGUGUUGGUGAUGUCAAUGGUGGAAGUACAACCUCCAUGUAUUAUUUAAAAAGCUGCUUAUUUAAUCUUGCUUGAAGUAAGCCAGCCAACUGGUCAUUCAGCCAGCCUGGUCUGUGGGCCAGUGAGGCAGUGGGUAGAUUGUAGGCGUUGUGGUGUUGAGUGGAGGUUAUUUACAUCUAUGUUGAUGUUAUUUAAAGAAUAUCUGUCUCUUGUUUUAAUUCUAUUGAUUUUCCACAAGAAUCUCUAGAAACAGUGGCAGAACUCAAGUUAUUAUCCUAGCUGUUCUGUAUUAACUGUUCACAGAAUUUUAUGAAUAGAAUGAGUUGAUAGCGCAUCACAUAGAAUACCCUGCAGUGUUUGUUUCAUCUCUCUGCACUCUGAGUUCAAAUCCUGGGGCAGUGUCGGCCUUUAAUUUUCACUCCUCAUGGUUGAUAAAUACCAGUCAAGUACUGGGGCCACUUCUUUCUCUCUCUUAACUAUGAGAAGGGACUAAGAAAAGAGUGUUCCAUAAUGAUUCCUUCUGGGGGAAUAAAGAAGGCGAUCCAUAUCCAUUGUUUGAUGUCUCUAUGGGGAGCUUUGACAGGGCUGAAAUCACUGACUUUGUUGGGAUAUACAUUUUGGAUACCCUCAAGAGAUGUACCCAUCCACAUAGGUUGGCCCCCUACAGGAACGAUGACCUGGCUAUAUCAAGCCAGAUGGAUGGCCAUAUAUAUAUAUAUAUAUAUAUACUUAUACAUAGAUUGAGAAGUGUGGGGAAAACCAAAUGAUGUUCUGGUGGUCCUUCCUUUUGUGGAUGCUAGGGCCUGGCAUAUAGGAGAUGUGGUCCUUAAACCUACUGGAUGCCAAACCCCGUUGUAAUAGAAGGCUGUGGCAUCGAAAAUUUCUUCACUUGAGGAUAAGUUUGAGGUCCUCUUGCUGACACCCUUCACUAGGUUCUUGAACAUGAUAGUGGGGUGGCAGGAGGCUGUGUUGAUGUAGGACAACCUCUCACUUGGUUUGCAGUAGGGCCUGUGUGUACUGGAGCCCAAGUCCAGAGUGAAAUCUAGGAAGUCCAUGGUGGUGGGGAUUAGUCUCAAUAGUUAUUUUAGUCCCAUGGACCCUAAUCAGGUCCUUUCCAAGUCUAUCAAAUGUAUAACAUAUAUAGAUAUAAAAUAACGAAGACAUACAUACAAACAUAUAGUGGAGGUAUGUGGCUUAGGUGUUAGCUGGGCUCAUGAUCAUAGGAGUGUGAUUUCAAUUCCUGGACCAAGCAAUGUGUUCUGUUCUUGAGCAAAACACUUCAUGUUGCUGCAGUCCACUCAGCUGGCAAAAAUGAGUCAUCUUGUGACAGACCUGCAUCCUGUCCAGGUGGGGAAUUUAUAUGCUGUGGAAACUGGGAAACCAGCCUUCAUGGGCCUGGUGUGGCUUGAGAAGGAAACAUUUAUUAUUUUUUUUACAUACAUAUAUGUUUGUAUGUAUGCAUAUGUUUGCUUGUGUAUGUGCACAUGCAUGCACUUGCUCUUCCCCAGCUUUAUUAUUAACACCUGAGGUAAAUAUUACUAUAUUUUAGAUUAAUUUCUUUAAAAAGAUGCUGCCCUUUUUACUUGGUCCAGAAAUAUGGAUCCACUCAGAAUUGUUUCAUCCAAAUAGUUCUCUCUGUCUCUCUUUCUCUAUCUACCUAUCUGUCUGUCUAUCUAUCUAUCUUUUUUUUUUAAUCAUAAAAACCUCCUUUUCCUUGUAAAGAUUUGCUUUAAGUGCAAGAUUUUAAUCACCUAAGUGCCAAAAGUUUGAAACAUAUAAACAAAGGCCCUCAUUACUUCUUUGCAGUUGUGCUGGGUGGGACAUGCUUCAAUGAUGGAGGGUAGCAGGCUCCCAAAGGUAGUCAUUUAUGCUGAACUACAUCAGAGCAGGCAGAGUCAUGGUGGCUAGAGAUUCUGAUACAAGGAUGUGCCAAAGAGAUAUAUGAAGAACUCCAGCAUCUCUCCAGACAUUUGGGAGGAGAAGGCCCUGUAGUGCAAUGAAUGGCACCAAUUGCUGAAGCUCGUAACUCCAGCCAUUGAGAAGAAUCAGCUGUGAAAAUCUGAAAGGGCACAUGAGAGAUGUUACUUCUCCAUUGCAUAAAGUAGCUUCACCUGCAAUAGGUGUCAUUGCUGGUGCAGCUUAAGAGCAGGCCUUGUAGCCCACAUGCGAGCCUGCGGACAGCUGAAGAAGAUGAUUCCCCCCAACCCCUCUCAAAGGAUCUUUGUCUUGCAAGUUACUUGAUGAUCCUGCCAGUGCUGGUGCCACUUAUAAAAAAACAUCCCGUCCACACUGUAAAGUGGUUGGCAUUUGGAAGGGCAUCCAGCUGUAAAACCCAUGCCAAAUUGACCACACUUGUGCUUGUGCCACGUAAAAAGCACCAAGUCCACCCUGCUGGGUAGUUAGUGUUAGGAAGGGCAUCCAACCAUAAAAGCCCUGCCAAAACAGACACCAGAAGUCUGGUGCAGACCUCCUACCUGGUCAGCACCUGUCAAUUCAUCCAACCCAUGUCAGCAUAGAAGGCAGAUGUUAAACAGUGAUGAUGAUGAUAUAUAUAUAUAUAUAUAUAUAUAUAUAGAUAUAUAUGUAUUAUAUAUAUUUGCACACUCACAUGCCUACACACAUAGAUAUGAACAUACAUAUACAAGUGUUCAUGAACUUAUAUGUAUCAGUCAGGUAACUUGACAUUGAGGUAACUAGACCAAUCAAGUAUAUAUAUAUUUAGUAUUUACUCACAGAUGGAGGGGAUGUGAGGUAUCAGUUCUCACCAUUAAAAUACAAUUAACCAAUCUUCCUACCACUCCUACCACUAUCACCACUCUCUCUCUCUCUCACACCUGAUGUUUUUCUCUUUCACCACAAUUUUCCUUAACUGGUAUGUCUAGCAAUUACUCAUCCACCCACCCAUCCAGUCCUUCACCAGGACCAGCUAGUAGCAUGGUUUGAACUGGUGACCUUGUAAUUAUUAGUACAAAUUGUUCUCACCUUUAAGAAUUAAUUUGUUACUAAUUAUUGCGCUUUAAUUGAAAGCUCAUAAAACAGGGAGGAUUUUCCCACAGAAAGGUGGGAAAAUAUCUCCACAUUGUGUAGUUAAGAAGUUUGCUUCCCAACCACAUUGUUUUGGGUUCCCUCUCACUGUGUGCCACUUUGAACAAGUGUCUUCUACUAUAUAGCCCAGGGCCAACCAAAGUCUUGUGAGUGGAUUUGAUAGAUAGAAAUUUCUGUGGAAGUCUGUCACAUAUAUGUAUUGGUAUGUGUUUGUGUUAGCACGCCGGGCGAAAUGUGUAGCCGUAUUUCGUCUGCCGUUACGUUCUGAGUUCAAAUUCCGCCGAGGUCGACUUUGCCUUUCAUCCUUUAGGGGUCGAUAAAUUAAGUACCAGUUUCGCACUGGGGUCGAUACAAUCAACUUAAUCCCUUUGUUUGUCCCCUUGUGGGCAAUAAAGAAAUAUAUAUAUGUAAUUGUGUAUGUAUGUGUAACUUUGUAUAGGUUUGUUUAUCUCUCACCUCUUGAUAAUUGUUGUGGAUUUGUUUGUCCUGAUUUAGUGGAGACACAUCUGUACUUUCAGAUGAAUUUGUAAUCUUACUUAUUCAAAGCUCAGUCAGUCCGUUCCAUGUUUGUACAGUGGAGAGAGGCCAUAGCAGUUCUCUUCUGGUGUUUUGAGUUCUCUGUUUUGCUUUUUUUCCCCCAAUGUCUGUUGACAUCCUCCUGAAAGAGACAGGGCUAUGUGGAUGAUGGUCUUCUCCCUUCUUUGGGCAGCUCUUCUAUACUGAAAAUGUGGCUGCCAUAACAUGUGACUAGCCAUUGCAUUCAUUCUUUUAAUAUGUCUUGGAAUCUUCAUGAUGAUGCACUUCUUAAGACAAGGAAUUUAAGGAUUUCACUGUCUUAUUUGCUUAUGUAUAUUGUUACCAUUUCCUCCUCUUAAAUUGCAAGAGCAUAACCCAUUUCUUUACUACUCACAAGGGGCUAAACACAGAGAGGACAAAUGGAUUAAGUCGAUUAUAUCGACCCCAGUGCGUAACUGGUACUUAAUUUAUCAACCCCGAAAGGAUGAAUGGCAAAGUCGACCUCGGCGGAAUUUGAACUCAGAACGUAACGUGAGACGAAAUACCUAUUUCUUUACUACCCACAAGGGGCUAAACACAGAGAGGACAAACAAGGACAGACAAACGGAUUAAGUCAAUUAUAUUGACCCCGAAAGGAUGAAUGGCAAAGUCGACCUCGGCAGAAUUUGAACUCAGAACAUAAUGACAGACGAAAUACUGCUAAGCAUUUCGCCCGGCGUGCUAAUGUUUCUGCCAGCUCACCGCAUAACCUUUAAUAUGUGACAUACUGAAAUGGCCACACUUGUUAACAUUAGCAUCAUCUUCCAGUUUAGGGAAACCUGCUCAUGCAUUACAUUUUGUGAGAUGCAGAGUUUUUAUUCCAGGUCUUCAUUGAGAUAUUCAGGUUCAGUAAUAUUGGGGUUGUAUGUGAGGUCAUCAAGAAGUCAGUACAUUUGAGGCGUUCACUGCUGAUUUACUGAAUGUUGUUCUCCUCAGUUUUGAUCACGUCUAUCUUUUAUCUGUUACAGCUUUGAAGGGUUUUAGUUGAACAAAUCAACCUCAAGACUUACUCUUUUUAAGCAUCGUCAUCAUCAUCAUCAUCAUGUAGUGACGCUAUUUUGAAAGUUUUCAGCACGCAUGCGCAGAGUUGGAUUACUUCUGGUAGGCCGCUGGAAGUUCCCUCACGCACAUGCGCAGAGAACUGCCAACAGAAAGUUUUCCCGCUAGAUAUGUUCUUCUGAAGCUGCAGCGGAAUCGAGUGGAGACGAUUCAAGGUUCUCUCAAGAAAACCAACAUGUAAAGAAGCCCUCUUCUACGCGGGAAUGGAGACAGCAUUUUUGGCUCACACAAGUUAACUAUAGUGAAUAAUUUCAUGGCUUUGGCUACCGGUUCGCCCUGAAGAAAAAUAUAUGUAUAUAUAUAUUUAUUUGUGAAUCCAGACCAAAAUAAAAUAUUAUUUAUUGCUGUUGAAGAUAGUCAAAGUUUUGGUUUUCCUUUCAACACAAUUUAAUGUAACAGGAUAAGACCAACACCCAUCAAGUGUUCCAGAGACCUUCAUCCUGUUACACACACAUACAUUCAUAUGAUGAUUAUCAUCAUCACUUAUUUGCCAUCUUCCAUACUGGCAUGGACAAAUGUGUUAUGCUCCAGUAUCUGCUUUGGCAUAGUUUCUACAGUUGGAUGCCCUUCUUAAUGCCAACCAUAUUUUGUAGCACCAGCGCUAGUAAGGUCCUGAGUAACUUGCAAGUUACUAGUGCUAGUGCUAUAUGUAGAUACAUUAUAUUAUUAUGUCAGGUCACUUUCGAGUGCUACUUGUAACAUGUAACCCAGUACAACCUGUUUGGGCUCUUGACGACUAAACCUGUAACCCCACUGAAAUAGCUUGGUGAUGUGAGUGGUUGUUGGACACCGUGUGGGACGAAAAGUAAAACCCAUUAAAAGGCGGAGGAACUCAUAAACAUCAACAGCCAUCCAAAUGAGGUUUGCUGUUCAUUAGUAUAGUGGAAUACUUGCUGCUGUUGCUGUCUGCGCUACUGAUCGAGAAUAGUAUUAUAUUUAACAUGGGACAGGACUGAUGUUAUAAUACACAAAGAAAAAAUAACCGACAUUAUAACAUAGAAAGAGAAAUAAUCGGUAAUACAGAAGGGAACGUGGAUCUUUUCGGUUUGAACGGCAGUUUUUUCUAGCGGUGUCAUAUGAAAUUGUCACCCAUAAUUAUGACCCUAGUAUCGAUCUAUUGCAUUUCAAUCUAUUUUAGGGUAAGGGUUAGGGGUGGGGUAUCUUUUUUCCUUCAUAAAUGUAAAUAAACCUAAUCUGUUUUUUAAACGAGGGACAUAUUCAUACGGCACAGAAUGUUUUUUUUUACCUCAAUGGACGUCAGUGAUUGGUUGAAAUUGCAGAAACUGAAGAAAAAAAAACAACAAAUAUCUUACAACCUAUAGAAUUUUCUGAAUAAAGCCAAGAGAAAAAGAUGUUUUGUAAACACAUUCUACCAGUAUACGAAGUUUAAAAUCUUUUAGUUACCUAUAAAUUAUGUUGAAAACUGCCGUUCAAACCGAAAAGAUCCGAGAACGUUUGUGAUGAAUGGAGAAAAUAAAUUAUAUUGCAAUAUAUAAAAAUGUAACAAACUUGUAAAAUCGUUGCAGAGGCAGGAAAAAUGCUUAGCUCUAUGUCUUCCGACUUUGUGUUCUGAGUUCAAAUAUCACCGAAGUUGACGUUGCCUUUCAUCCUUUUGGAGUGGACAAAAUAAGUACCAUUUGAAUGGCGGGGUCGAUGUUAUCGACUUACCUCCUCGCCCCAAUUUGCCGGCCUUGUACAUAAAUUCGAAAGCAACGUUUAAAAAAUAAAGGGAAAUAACUGAUAUUAUAACAAUGUAGAAAGGGAAAUAACCAUUACCAUUACCAUAUAACAUUUCUAUGCGAGAAGGAAAUAAACCAAUAUUUUAAUCCUUGAAUGAUUCCUUUUCUUCCCUCACUGAAUUCACUCUGUGUUUGUGCCCAUCUGUUGAUCUAUGAAAUCUCUUCUGACAUCUUGUUUGCAUCCAUCCAAAUGGUUAUUGUAUCACUGUAAUUCAAGCUACAGUCGAAUAAUUUCAAAUUUUCUGUGUGGUACAUUCUAUUGAGAGGAAUUGAGAUCAAAUGCUUUAGCAGUUGAUUAUUCCUUUUAUGUUUGUUGUGUGUCCAUGCUGAUAUGUGUUGGAUGGUUUCUAUGCCUGGAUGCUCCUCCUAAUGCCAACCACUUUACAGAGUUGUGCUGGGUGCUUUUACGGGGCACUGCCAUGAGUGCCUUAUACCUCUGAUGAGAAACCGGUCUUAACACAUCUGCUGUGGAGAGGGGGGGAGUAGGGGAGAGAGAGAGAGAGAGAGAGAGAGAGAGAGAGAGAGAGAGAGAGAGAGAGAGAGAGAGAUACACACAUACAUAUACACAAUCAUUCAUAUAACUAUACUUUUUUUUCUUUUAACAGCUUCAAGAAACUGGAAACUGAAGACGAUUCCCACCAAGCAAAUAAAACUUCCUUCACAGAAUGUGAUGCAUCAAAACUCAUCUCUCAUGUUUUCAAGGAAGUCAAUUAAACAUACUUAGAUAUUAGUAUGACACCACUACAGCUGUUGUCUAAUUUAUUCCUUUCAAUGACAUCCCAAUGAGGGCAGUUAAUUCUUGUUACACACUCUAUACCCUCAAUUACCAUGAUGUGUCCUUCCGUUGAUAACACCAACCAACUGAUCAACAUGCUGCCUCAACAAACAUACCAAAGUUCUCAAAAGUUUGCUAAAUAUUUUGACUUGUUUUCCAAACAGAGCUUUGUUCCUGCCAGACUGCUGUCUCUAUCUCAGAGAUCCUUAUUUUUCUUGACAUGAUUUGCCAUACUCCUUUUUGUCAAACAGAUUAUUACAAGUUAAGAAAUUAGCAAACAAAAACACAAAAAAAAGAAAGAAAUUUUCUGAACACACAAUUGUGCCAACCAAGCAAAUGUCAUAAUAAAAGAAUCUUUGUUUAAGGAGUUCCACUGAAGAAAAACUAAACUUGCUGUUUGAGGAAUAAUGAAACAACACUCAGAAAAAGCUGAAGCAAAUCAGGAUUAAAUUUUAAUGUCACCAACAAUAAUUAUAAUUUAAUGAUUUAAAAAUGAUUAAAAAUUUAGUUUUUAUUCACCAUCCUGUUUCGAAACUGAAUUAAGCAGAAUGAUAUUCUGUGUGAAAUCUAUCUAUGAGUGGCAAGAAUAAAAUCAUUUUAACUUUCAUUCGGUUAGCACCAGGUAGUCCUGUUUCUCAGAGUUUGACAAGGUGAUAUAUUUGAAGGGCUGCUUUAAUUGAUUUAACUACACCUACAGUGUUUGACUGGUACUUUAUUUUAUUAACAACAUCAGGAGGAUCAAUCUAAAAUGGAAUCUAGCAACUUUGUACCAUCUGAGAUAUCUUCAGGUUUUAUCUACACACUCUCAAUGGCUCUUGUCAUCGAAUGUAUCGGUGGUUUGGUGUGUAACCUCAUUGUCCUCAUUACAUACCACAAGAGUUUCAAAACCCAGAAAACAGACAAUUUUCUCAUCAUUAAUUUAAAUAUUGUUGAUAUUCUUAUUUGUGUCACAGCCAUUCCACUCACACUUGUCCUAUUACAGAGCUACCAAGGACAAUGCUGUGUCUUACCAUGUUUCUUUCACCAAGCCAACAUCACAUUUGUUAGUACCGCUAGUGCUAUCACCCUGCUCACCAUCAGCAUCGAUCGUUAUGAAGCUGUGGUGACACCAUUAAGAAAAAAAAUAAUUCAAUCCAAUAUGAAAAAAACUCUUCUUGCCAUUUGGACAAGUUCUUUGUUUGGGUUGUGUUCUCCAUUUAUUGGGGUAGACUUUUCCUUGUUGCCACCUGUAACAGAAUUGCAUUCAUCAACUCUAUCUUCAAUAUCACCAAAUUCAAAUUCUUCAAACUCAUCAUCUCAUGAACUCCACAAAACCUUCACCAGCUCCAAAGAUGUAACUGAGUCUACAGAAGAUGUCAACUGGCAAUGGAAACUGCACACAUGCCAACACUUCAUUUAUUCAGCCCAUUUCUUCCCAUUCCAUGAUGUUUACUUCAUGUUAUACUUCUUCCUCUGCAUGACUGGCAUGAUUGUAUGCUACUACUACAUUUUCCGAGUUGCUAAGCAACGACUCGCUGUCCGUUUAGCAUUAAUCCGGGCCACACUAGCCUUUACAGGGGGCAGUACUGCAGAGGAGUCCAUUUGGAAACUACAGGAUCGGCGUCUGACCAAGAUGACACUGGCCAUUGUUUCUUCAUUCAUCAUUUGCUGGGGGCCCCACAUCAUUAUUUCCUGCAUCAGUAUUGCUCUGCAUGAUAUAACAGCAGAGAUGCUACGUUUUAUUGGACUUGUCAUUGCUUUCUCCACAGCUCUCUUACAUCCACUUCUUUACACAUUCAUGCGACAAGACUUCCAGAGGGCACUCAGAAACAGGUGGAUGACACAGAGAGUACUGCGUAGGAAUUUUAGAAAUCGUAAAAUUGGAACAGAUGCUUCUGCUACCCACAAUGGAAGCAUUUGGACUUUGACACGGGACACUAUUAAUGAUACAACAUCGGCAGAAUAAUAGGUUUUUAUUGUUUCUAUUGGAACAAAUAGAGAGGGGGAGAACUGAUUGUAAAUUUUACAGACACUAACAAAUCUACUCACACAUAUAUAAUAUGCACAGCGCAUACAGACAAUAAUAUGCACACUAACAUAUAUACAUAUACCUCACAUAUACAGAGUGACAUACCAUACAUGUAAUCACACAGACAGUAACGUACAUAUCCAUGUACUAAAAUAGCAAACAACUGGACACAUAUACAAUAUUAUAAAAAUGCUGUUUUUCUUCAGUUGUUAAAACAUUCUCCUUCAUUUCUUUUUAAUUUUCAAUAAAAUAUUUUU